GUCUCAAGAAAAAGAAAAAAAGGAAAAGUGAAUAUGUUGAUGCAGUUGCACAGUUACUGAAAAAUCGUCAAGGAAUUACAGAGGAGGAACCUGAGCACUGCUGCUCAGAAAGACCUUGCCAGAUGGCUGGUAAUCUAUGAUCAAGUUUAUCUUGUGCUUGUGAAUACUGGGAAGCAAAAUAAUGCAUUUUGUAUUGCUGCUAAAUAGCAGAGGAGUUCAAUCACGAUGAUCAGAAAUGUUUGUCCACUUUUAACCAAACUGCUGAUUGGUCAAGGGAGGGAUGCUUGACUUUAAGAAGCUCUUACCUGGCAGGACACCAGCCCUCAGCCAUCAGUCAAUACAUCAGAUGUCCAUCAUCCUUUCAGUGCUGAGGUGAGAAGAAAUGGUGGUAGACUUGUUCACUAGUCAGGCAAGCAGAA